GAUGAACGCUAGCUACAGGCUUAACACACGCAAGUCGAGGGGCAGCAUGGUCUUAGCUUGCUAAGGCUGAUGGCGACCGGCGCACGGGUGAGUAACACGUAUCCAACCUGCCGUCUACUCUUGGCCAGCCUUCUGAAAGGAAGAUUAAUCCAGGAUGGGAUCAUGAGUUCACAUGUCCGCAUGAUUAAAGGUAUUUUCCGGUAGACGAUGGGGAUGCGUUCCAUUAGAUAGUAGGCGGGGUAACGGCCCACCUAGUCAACGAUGGAUAGGGGUUCUGAGAGGAAGGUCCCCCACAUUGGAACUGAGACACGGUCCAAACUCCUACGGGAGGCAGCAGUGAGGAAUAUUGGUCAAUGGGCGAUGGCCUGAACCAGCCAAGUAGCGUGAAGGAUGACUGCCCUAUGGGUUGUAAACUUCUUUUAUAAAGGAAUAAAGUCGGGUAUGCAUACCCGUUUGCAUGUACUUUAUGAAUAAGGAUCGGCUAACUCCGUGCCAGCCGCCGCAGUAA
rnacentral:rRNA from 1 species